GCCCUGGAGUGGGGGACAACAGUUGGAAACGACUGCUAAUACCGCAUACGAUCCAAUCUCGGCAUCGAGACUGGAUGAAAGGUGGCCUCUAUUUAUAAGCUAUCACUGAAGGAGGGGAUUGCGUCUGAUUAGCUAGUUGGAGGGGUAACGGCCCACCAAGGCGAUGAUCAGUAGCCGGUCUGAGAGGAUGAACGGCCACAUUGGGACUGAGACACGGCCCAG
rnacentral:rRNA from 1 species